UACGUAGGUGGCAAGCGUUGUCCGGAUUUACUGGGCGUAAAGAGCGCGCAGGCGGUUGGAUAAGUCGAAUGUGAAAGCCCCCGGCUUAACUGGGGAGGGUCAUUCGAUACUGUUCAACUUGAAGGCAGGAGAGGGCAGCAGAAUUCCCGGUGUAGUGGUGAAAUGCGUAGAUAUCGGGAGGAAUACCAGUGGCGAAGGCGGCUGCCUGGACCGGUAUUGACGCUGAGGCGCGAAAGCCAGGGGAGCAAACGGG
rnacentral:rRNA from 1 species